rnacentral:ncRNA from 2 species
GGGAAUCCGGUCGAAAUCCGGGACUGUCGCGCAACGGUGAGGCAUCACGCCAAGUCCGAAAACC